GGUUAUGAGCGGCCGUCCUGGACUCGCUGAGACACACGCAAGUUUAGAGCGUGGUCAGCUCUGCAGGUACACAGUCACCCUGGCGCAGACACUACGGCUCAGCAGCUUUCGCGCGGGAGCGCCUCCUGCGCUAGGGGUUCCAACAUGGCAACCUCGGACCUACAAACUCGUACACACCAAAGCUCAGGUUCCCAAACUGGCCAUUUCCAUCUCUCUGCGGGCUGCACAGCCCCCUCGCCGCCUCUCAAUCCACCCUCAGCUCUGUUGAAGCCCAACCCCUCGGGGAGCCAUGCCCCUCCCCAACUUUUCCGGCUACCACGCCCCCACCAACUCCAAGGUCCAGGCGAUGCUCCACCCUGCACCCCGCCCCCUCUUUUCCUGGCGCUGGGGGUACGCGGCUUUUGCGCCCUCUGCCGGCUAAUCUUCACAACCCUGAGACCCCUAGACAGGUAAAGCAGCAUUCACCCUCAGCAAUCAGACAGGCAGUUAAAAAGACUUCUUUUAGUCGUUUAAUCGUUCAAAUGUUCGUUCCUUCUGUGGCCUCCCAUAUAAAAGAAGAAGGGAACGACCUUGACUUUCCACUGUCAGACCUACACACGAAUCUGUGGCUGCUCCACGUUCCUUGCAGGGGAGGGGCAGGACCCUUCUACUUCUCAGUGAUCCACCCUAGAGUUCUCCUACUUCUGUCCCAGUCUGGUGAGUCUGAGGUUGUGCUAGGUACUGAGGCAUCACCCCCUUCCCUUCCUUGCCCUACUCUGCCCUCACCUGCCUGUUACGUUCUUUUCAUCUUCCUGGACCCAGUUUAAAUGCUGGGCCCUACAUCUGAAUGAAUAAAAAUUUAUGGGCUGCCUCUGAUGUAU